GAUGAACGCAGGCGGCGUGCCUAAUACAUGCAAGUCGAGCGGACAGACGAGGUGCUUGCACCUCUGAAGUCAGCGGCGGACGGGUGAGUAACACGUGGGUAACCUACCUGUAAGACUGGGAUAACUUCGGGAAACCGGAGCUAAUACCGGAUAAUAUUUUCCACCUCAUGGUGGAAUAGUGAAAGACGGUUUUGCUGUCACUUACAGAUGGACCCGCGGCGCAUUAGCUAGUUGGUGAGGUAACGGCUCACCAAGGCGACGAUGCGUAGCCGACCUGAGAGGGUGAUCGGCCACACUGGGACUGAGACACGGCCCAGACUCCUACGGGAGGCAGCAGUAGGGAAUCUUCCGCAAUGGACGAAAGUCUGACGGAGCAACGCCGCGUGAGUGAAGAAGGUCUUCGGAUCGUAAAACUCUGUUGUAAGGGAAGAACAAGUACGUUAGUAACUGAACGUAC
rnacentral:rRNA from 1 species